AGCGAAGGAGCAUGUCGAUCGGCAUGCACUAUUUUGAGCUGUUACUAUGUGCAGUUGGCUAUGGACUGAUAGCGAUUGCUGGUGUGCAGCGUACGUUACGCAAUCAGUCGGGAGCCGGAUAUAGGAUCGCCUGGGGGGUUUCUGUCCCGCGUGUAUAUGACUGCCAGCGUUUAGCGCGCGAAAAAAACCACCAAGAUUGCCCCCUCACUGGAGCGAGGGGACCCCCACCCACAUUUGUAAUCAUCUGUCUGUCCGGCUUGUGUACUAAUAUAUAGAGGAUUUUCGACGACGUGCUCUGUGUUUCUCCGUCGAGCGGCCCCCCCAGAGAGGGAGAGCCCCCCCGUAUAGUCACACACCUAGCCUCUGUAAAGCUCCUUCGACGAGUCGAGUUGUUUGGGAAUGCUGCUCAAAAUGGGAGGUAUAUCUUUUCUAAAGCUAAAUAUAGCCCAGAGACCGAUAGCGCACAAGUAGAGUGAUCGAAAGAUGAAAAGCACUUUGAAAAGAGGGUUAAAUAGCACGUGAAAUUGUUGAAAGGGAAGCGCUUGUGACCAGACUUGUGCCGGGCUGAUCAUCCACCGUUCUCGGUGGUGCACUCGACCCGGCUCAGGCCAGCGUCGGUUCUCGUAGGGGGAUAAAAGCUUCGGGAACGUGGCUCCUUCGGGAGUGUUAUAGCCCGCUGCUUAAUACCCUUGUGGGGACCGAGGUUCGCGCUCUGCAAGGACGCUGGCAUAAUGGUCAUCAGCGACCCGUCUUGAAACACGGACCAAGGAGUCGAGGUUUUGCGCGAGUGUUUGGGUGUAAAACCCGCACGCGUAAUGAAAGUGAACGUAGGUGAGAGCUUCGGCGCAUCAUCGACCGAUCCUGAUGUUCUCGGAUGGAUUUGA
rnacentral:rRNA from 1 species